GUAACUCAUGAAAAAACGUUAAUGUUGUAUUUGUCACAUGACAAUAUAAUGUAAAUGAGCUGAUUGACAAAAAACUUUUAGCCAAUCAGGAGUGGAGUGUUACAUCCAAAAUUAAAUUAGUAAGAAAUUUAAGCUACAAUAAGUUAAAAUCAAAUUGUUAUCUUUCGAUCAAAGUAUUUGGUUUUAGUCCAUGUUAUUUGUGCUUUUGUCCGGCAUUAAAUCUACAUCAUGAAUUGUUAUUUUUCAAUUUUACAUUUUGAUAAUUAAGGAAUGACUUUAAUAUUUUUUCUGUCUAUGAAGAAAUAACAUAAAAAAUGUGAUGCACACUGAAUAAUGCAUGUAGCGAGUUAUUUAACAGUGUGCACCACAUUUUUUAUGUUAUUUCGAAUAGACAGAAAAAAUAUUACAGUCAUUUCUUAUAAUUUAAUUCUAAAUUCCAUUUUAAACCGUAAAAAACCACGAAAAAACGUUGAUGACGUCACGAUCACAUGACUAAAUUAUGUCUAUGGGCUGAUAACAAAAUAACGUCAGCCAAUCAGAAGACGCGUAACAUCCAACAUUAAAUUAUCAUACCUUAAAGAGAAACAUUACAUUUGUUGUGACAGACAGAUGACCUAAUCUAUUCCUAUUACUUGUGACAAUUAUUCUACUUAUUCUACUCACACUGCCAUAUCAGCCCCAUUUACAAAUUAGUAAAUAAAGGAGAGAUGUGUUUUUGUUUGAUAACACUAAUCUAGAUAACAAGUGUACUUACUGAUGAAAGUUACAUUGUAAGAAAGUAAAUAUAUUUCUUCAUGUUGUAUAUGAUAAGUCUACAAGAACAUCUGUUUAUAAAAGAAAGUGUAUAUACAUGUUUGAUUGCUCAUUCUGUUUAGUGUUAUGUUUGGGG
rnacentral:lncRNA from 1 species